UACGAAGGGUGCAAACGUUGCUCGGAAUUAUUGGGCGUAAAGCGCACGUAGGCGGCUUUGCAAGUCGGAUGUGAAAUCCCUCGGCUUAACCAAGGAAGUGCAUCCGAAACUGCAGAGCUUGAGUACUUAAGAGGAUCGCGGAAUUCCCGGUGUAGAGGUGAAAUUCGUAGAUAACGGGAGGAACACCAGUGGCGAAGGCGGCGAUCUGGGAAGAUACUGACGCUGAGGUGCGAAAGCGUGGGGAGCAAACAGG
rnacentral:rRNA from 1 species